rnacentral:rRNA from 1 species
GUAGUCAUAUGCUUGUCUCAAAGAUUAAGCCAUGCAUGUCUAAGUAUAAGCAACUAUACUGUGAAACUGCGAAUGGCUCAUUAAAUCAGUUAUCGUUUAUUUGAUAGUACCUUACUACUUGGAUAACCGUGGUAAUUCUAGAGCUAAUACAUGCGAAAAACCCCGACUUCGGAAGGGGUGUAUUUAUUAGAUAAAAAACCAAUGCCCUUCGGGGCUCUCUGGUGAUUCAUAAUAACUAAACGAAUCGCAUGGCCUUGCGCCGGCGAUGGUUCAUUCAAAUUUCUGCCCUAUCAACUUUCGAUUGUAGAGUAGUGGUCUACAAUGGUUUCAACGGGUAACGGGGAAUUAGGGUUCGACUCCGGAGAGGGAGCCUGAGAAACGGCUACCACAUCCAAGGGAGGCAGCAGGCGCGCAAAUUACCCAAUCCCGACACGGGGAGGUAGUGACAAUAAAUACUGAUACAGGGCUCUUUUGGGUCUUGUAAUUGGAAUGAGUACAAUUUAAAUCCCUUAACGAGGAACAACUGGAGGACAAGUCUGGUGCCAGCAGCC